GAUAAAAGGAAACCCUUCGACAAAUAAUAAGCAAAAAAAGAUAAAUCGACAAGUCAACACUGCCUGAAUCUGCGGGAUGCAAGUCCAGAUAACCCUUCUUAAGGGUCCAGGCCAUAAGCUGAUGCAGAGGAAACAUAGAUAACUGAUAUUGGAUAUGUGGCGGAAGCGGACAUUGUAGAGGUGGUGUUGCGUCGAUGGCGUCCUGUGACUAUUGAGGACGUCCUCGUGGAAGCGCUCCAGGAGCGGCAAGACCCGGAAGUGGACAAGGUCAUUCAAGAGGUGGGACCAGGCUGAUGGACAUUAGCUUUUCCAUCUAUGGAAAACACUACGACAGGGUUAGCAGGGCCAACUUCAACAUGAAUCAUCUACGCCACAGGCUUGUACAACAAGGAGGGAAAAGAUGGAGGAGCGGGAUGUGGACCAGCUUAUCCGAGAGAAGAAACCAGACUGACGGACCACUCACCUAUUGGGGACUUGACCCAGCAGCUCUUCUUCCCCCAUCAUGCCCAGCAGACUGGUCCAACAUUUUUCAAAGCUCCACAGAAAUGUGAUGCCUGGAAAUUGGCUGUCUUUGGAGUAUGUGCAGAAGGCUCAGGACUACAUAUGCGGAUUGAGAUAUCUAGGAUAGCCAUUAGGAGCUACAUGGCCAUUUUCCAUCGAAAACAACCUCAGAUGUUUAUGGACGGUUUACAAGAUGAAUGGCAAUCAUCAAGGUUAUUUUCAAUUGAAAAUGGCCGAGAAGUUCCAAAUGCAAUGAUAGCAGGAAAUACAAAGUUCCACCUGGGUCUGCACUGGGGCACUGCAGUCCAUAAUGGAAAAUCAAAUGCUGUGAUGAUAGGAGAAGUGACUACGACUGUGACCAGCUCAUCAAGGAGUGGCCAUAACAUUCUCCAACUUGUAGCUGAUGCUUGAAAACCAGUCAAGCUCUUCCAUCGGAAACACUACCUACAGCUGUUUUUCAAGCUAUUGAAAAACAUCUCGAAGUAACACCAUUUUGUACUUGAAGCAGAUGGACCCAGAUUUGUGUAGUGCAGAGAGAUUGCUGAAUCAGAUGUUGUGAAGUACAGCUAAUGCUUCAUUGCUGAGAAUGGGAGGAGUUGUCUUGCCUGAACUCCCAUGUGAAAUCUGCACCAAGGGCGUGGACUUUGAUAACAGUGAUAUUUACAUGAGAAGAUAAGGAAAUACUUCAGAAUUGAUGUUAAUAGAGACAAAUUAGCUUACCCUGGACCAUCUCAACCAAAGCAGUGAACACACUAUAACCUUUUCUUCUUACAAUUUGUUUAGAUAUAUCUGUCAUACAACUGAUGUAUGGUAGGGUGAAAUAUGUUUUCAACUAUAAUAUGUGUUCUCUAUUGAAGGUUGUCUAUUGUAAUCAACAACUGACAUUCAUUGUAUUAUUCCCCUGUUAACUUUUUACAAAUUUCCCUUGAUAGCUUUACUUUAAAGAUGCUCUCUCACUUCCAAAUAAGAUGUACAUUGUACCACAAUUAAUACAAAUGUAUUAUAUUCCAUACAGAACAAAUACAUGUCUUAAACAAUAGUUAUUAUGAUUGAAUACACAGUUAAAUUUUAAGGAAACGUGCAGAAAACACGCUUUAUACAUUAUGAGUGAAUAGUAGAUCACAAUCUUUUAGCAUUCACCAGUAAAUUCGAAUAUUUGCUUUUUCAGCUAUUAAAGAGACUGUACACCAGAUUGUCACCAAAAAAAGUUUUUUUCUGUAACGAAUCCCAGGACAUUUAUUUAAUAGAAUGUGUUACGCUUUGAUAUCAUAAUUGUGUCGGAGACCGGGUUUAAACCCGUGUGGCCAAAAUUGCAGUCCAGUGUUGUAUUCACUGUGCUACGAAGGCGUACUCAAAAUGAGUGGUAUAUUUAAGCUAUAUACCUCACUUGGUAAUAUCACACGAUAACAUUUUAUAGCCAAUCACGCAUAAGGAAUGUUCUACUAGGUAGACACAUUCAUUAAUCUUUUUUAAUGGAUAAAUACAAAAUAACUGCUAAAAUUAAAUAAAUUUUAAACUUCAGUUAGUAAGUUUCAAUGCAUUGUACACAUUAAUACCAAGUUUAUGUCAGUUUUCGACCAUUUUCUUUUUUUCUUGCAAAUUGAUCAUCUGUUGCACAGUUGCUUUAAUACAUGGGUAUAAACUUGUCAGUAAUUAUUAUUUUCCAUUAAUGCAUUAUGUUGUAUAAAGUACUUCAAUUGAAUUUUAAUAAGAGUGUCACUUAAAAGUAAUUUCUAUUAACUUUUAAUGUCUGUCUGAAUCAUCAAUUUAAAAUCCAAGGUUUGACCAGGUUUAUAAGAAGGCUGAACUGCAAUGUCAAAACAAAACAUGUAAUAUAUAUUUAAAUGUGUAUUUAGUUUUGACAUGGUAAUAUUUCAGUUUGUUUUCUUUAUCAAAACUAUUAUUUACUAUAAUUUUGUAUCUUAGUCAAAUAGAUAUGUAACAAUCUUUUACACAGUUUAUCAUAAGAUUUCCUGUAGUUGAAUGAGAUUUUUCUCCCACCUCAGAUAUGUAGAUCCAAUAAUUUAACCAUGCUAGAAAUUCUUAUCUUACCCACCGGCGAAUAUGAAAUGCCCGUAUGGAACUCCUUUUUAAUGGUCACUACAUUUUAAUUAACUCCCUUGUUGAAGACAAUGUUGACUGUAGCAUCAUGGAAACCUUGUCUUGUGGCAAUAUUUAGAACGCUAAUUAUUUAUUUCUCGCUUCAAAUGUCACCAUAAACCAGUUUUCACGCACCUUUCAAGAAAUAAUGCUUCACUCUCCUUAGAACUAUUUCAAGACCGAUCUGACUAUUUACAUAAUCUGAAUCACUGCGCGCAUAUUCAUGACAACCAUGAAUUAUCGCAUAUCCAUUCGCAAUUAUUUACACUAAGCACAAAAGAGUUCCAACAAAAAAUACAUUUUUACUUAUUUUUUUUAACUGGUGAGGGAGAAAAAGCAUCUACCAUAGCCGCUCGUGUAAGAUAGGUUCAUCCCGACCCUCGCGCAGGGUCGGAAUGAACACCCUUUCUCGGGUCGGAAUGAACCUAUCUUACACUCUCGGCCAUGGGAGAUACUUAUAAUGAGUGAAAUAAAAUCACCAUCUUUAUCAUUAAAUUCAUAUGCUUUUCUAUAUUUGUCUUUAAAAUUGUUGAUAUUUGAGAACUAAUUCGGAAAGGUGUUAAGUGUAUUGUUAUUUUACUAAGUUUGGUAAAAAAAUAAAUAUUGUGUAAAAUGAGUAUAGCUACAAAAUGCAUAAAUACCAGAAUAAACCUGUUAAUUGUAUUACAAUUUCUGAAUAUUUUGAAUGUAUUUUUUUUGUACAACAAUGAUCCACUCCUGACAUAAUUGAACACACGUGUGUUAUUGAAGCGUUUUAUGUCAUGUGAUGUAUGGUCAGUCGAGGGGAAAGGCGGGAAUAUGCACAGGUUGUAAUUAUAUUGGUCAUUUCUAUGCUUGACUGAAGUGGUUAACUUGAUUUUAUUCAAAUUUGAGUCGUUUAAUGUUGGCAUAAAGAUGUUUUAUCAUUUAAUGUUAUUAUUCUAAUCGGAAAAUUGUUUAGUUAAUUGGGAACAUUUAUAUGUUCAUGUUAAUCAUUAAUUAGAAAAAAAGUAUUUAGGUCAUGAAAUUGAAAUAUUUCAAAAAGUAUUGAUGAAUACUGAAGGAAAUAUGUAUACAUUUUGAUCUCAUGCAUUUUGAAGCAUUAUGGUAUUCUGAGGUACAGUUUUCCAGAGUUAUUUUACAAACAGUUGAAGUUUUGAUCUCUGGUUUUUACCCUGUCUUGGAAUAUCAUAAUUUGUACAACGUUGUAUUAUUUGAACAUUGUAUAUAGAUGCUGUAUGGUAACAGUUUUCUGUAAAUAUGAGAUUUUAGUGGCUAUUCUCCAGAAAUCUGAUUAGUUUUUAAUGCCUAGCUAGUCCCAAUGUCUUGAAACUUCUUAAGCAUAAAAGACUUAAGUAGACUUAUUUCAGUUAGCCAAAAUGCAUACCUCAAUUGGAUUUUGAUACAUGAAAAAUGGUUUAUUGUAAUUGACAAUUCCUAUAAUAAUAAUAAUAAUAAUAUCUUUAUUUUAAGAAGGUGACAUAUUAAGAUCAUGUACAAAACUACAGAAUCUUAUUUUCGAUAUGGCCCUCUGAAACAGAAUGAAAAUAUGGCAAAUAAUCAUAAGAAAAUAAUCAUAUAUAAAGUAUAACGAAGUGAAUAUAAUGCAAAUUAUUGAAAAAACAAAAAGAGUGAGCUUAGAUAGUCCUGUUGUAAGGGACUUAAGAAGUUUCGAGAAAUUGGGGCGAUCAUGUUUGUAAUUCAAGUAUUUUUUAAUAUGCCUUUAUUUUUGUUGAGUAGUUUUUUAAGACCUCUAGUUUGAUCCCUAAGGUGUUGCAUAUUGUAUUGUAUUUUAUUGUCGUUGCCAUGGUAACAUUUUUAAUACAAUGGAAGUAUUGCAAUGGUAACAUUGUUAAUAUUAAUGAAAGUAUUAUCAUGAUAUUUUUAGAAAAUUGUCACCACUUUAGAUUAUGUUAUUUUGUGUAUGAUUAUAUUAUAU